AAGGUGGCAAUGGCAGAC
rnacentral:siRNA from 1 species